AAGCCAUGCGAGUUUAAAGGACUUCGGUCCUUGGCAGACGGCUCAGUAACACGUGGAGAACCUGCCCUCAGGAGGGGGAUAACCCCGGGAAACUGGGAAUAAUACCCCAUAGGUCUAGAAUGCUGGAAUGCUUCUAGGCUCAAAGCUCCGGCGCCUGAGGAUGGCUCUGCGGCUUAUCAGGUUGUAGUGAGAGUAACGUCCUCACUAGCCUAUGACGGGUACGGGCCCUGAGAGGGGAUGCCCGGAGAUGGACUCUGAGACACGAGUCCAGGCCCUACGGGGCGCAGCAGGCGCGAAAACUCCGCAAUGCUCGAAAGAGUGACGGGGGGAUUCCAAGUGCCUACGCUUAGCGUAGGCUGUUCAGAUGCCUAAAAAGCAUCUGGAGUAAGGGCUGGGUAAGACGGGUGCCAUCUGUGGCAGCAGCCGAAGAUUUGGCUUGUUGCUGCAAGGCAUAAGCCGCCGCGGUAAUACCCGCAGCCCGAGUGGUAGUCGAUUUUAUUGGGCCUAAAGCGUCCGUAUCCGGUCUGAUAAAUGCCUGGGUAAAUCGUCUGGCUUAACCAGACGAAUUCCGGGUAGACUGUCAGACUUGGGACCGGUUGAGGAAGAGGGUACUUUAGGGGUAGGAGUGAAAUCCUGUAAUCCUUGAA
rnacentral:rRNA from 1 species